AUUCAAUACACGUUAGUAUAACCUAUUGCUACAUAAAACUUCAUUGUAGAACAAGACAAGACCACAAUAGAUCUGGGAAGGUCGCAGUGGGUCAGGCUGAGAUCCACCUCUAGAAAUCUAAUCUAGAACAAGACAAAGACCUUACUUGCAAACUACCAUACAUAUCUUUUAAAAAGGAUGCUAAGUGUAGUUAAGAAGUUUAGAUAAAUCUACAAUAUAUUAUCAUCAGACCAAAGGCAGGAUAAUUAUUUAAAAGAAGUUAUGUUAUGAUACAUAUAUAGAUUUGGAUGACUUCGCUUCAGGUGGUUUUACCAGUCAGGACUAACAGGGAUAUUAAUCAAAACAAUGAAAAAAAGCUCAAAUAAAUUUGAUCCUAAUAACAAGAAUGUUGUUUAUGCAUAUGCUAACUAUACAUAUAGUUAUUUUCAUGGACUUAAAUAGAUUAGUUUUUAUGUAUUUAUUGAUAGUAAUUAAUAUUUUUUGGUUCAUAUUGUAAUUACUAAUAAAAAGUAAACAUUAUAAUGUAAGCAUGUAAAGUUAUAUUUAAAAAUUUGGUCUUAUACUGUCAGUUAUAAAUAAAAGUGUGUGAUUUAAAUUUGAUUUUUAUACAUGACAUAAAAUUGUUAAGAUUCAUUUGAAGUUUUACAUAUUGUCGAGGUAAAAUUAUGCCUACUUAAUUUAUGUAUAACAAUAAUUACAGUUAUUUCAAUGUUAAAUUUAUAGCAGUAUAACUUUUUUAUAAUAAUGAUAC